GGAUUUACUGGGCGUAAAGCGUGCGUAGGUGGCCAAUUAAGUCAAAUGUGAAAUCCCCGAGCUUAACUCGGGAAUUGCAUUCGAUACUGGUUGGCUAGAGUAUGGGAGAGGAUGGUAGAAUUCCAGGUGUAGCGGUGAAAUGCGUAGAGAUCUGGAGGAAUACCGAUGGCGAAGGCAGCCAUCUGGCCUAAUACUGACACUGAGGUACGAAAGCAUGGGGAGCAAACAGGAUUAGAUACCCUGGUAGUCCAUGCCGUAAACGAUGUCUACUAGCCGUUGGGGUCUUUGAGACUUUAGUGGCGCAGCUAACGCGAUAAGUAGACCGCCUGGGGAGUACGGUCGCAAGACUAAAACUCAAAUGAAUUGACGGGGGCCCGCACAAGCGGUGGAGCAUGUGGUUUAAUUCGAUGCAACGCGAAGAACCUUACCUGGUCUUGACAUAGUAAGAACUUUCCAGAGAUGGAUUGGUGCCUUCGGGAGCUUACAUACAGGUGCUGCAUGGCUGUCGUCAGCUCGUGUCGUGAGAUGUUGGGUUAAGUCCCGCAACGAGCGCAACCCUUUUCCUUAUUUGCCAGCGGGUUAAGCCGGGAACUUUAAGGAUACUGCCAGUGACAAACUGGAGGAAGGCGGGGACGACGUCAAGUCAUCAUGGCCCUUACGACCAGGGCUACACACGUGCUACAAUGGUCGGUACAAAGGGUUGCUACCUAGCGAUAGGAUGCUAAUCUCAAAAAGCCGAUCGUAGUCCGGAUUGGAGUCUGCAAC
rnacentral:rRNA from 1 species